UCGGCCACACUGGAACUGAGACACGGUCCAGACUCCUACGGGAGGCAGCAGUAGGGAAUCUUCCGCAAUGGGCGAAAGCCUGACGGAGCAACGCCGCGUGAGUGAUGAAGGUCUUCGGAUCGUAAAACUCUGUUAUUAGGGAAGAACAUAUGUGUAAGUAACUGUGCACAUCUUGACGGUACCUAAUCAGAAAGCCACGGCUAACUACGUGCCAGCAGCCGCGGUAAUACGUAGGUGGCAAGCGUUAUCCGGAAUUAUUGGGCGUAAAGCGCGCGUAGGCGGUUUUUUAAGUCUGAUGUGAAAGCCCACGGCUCAACCGUGGAGGGUCAUUGGAAACUGGAAAACUUGAGUGCAGAAGAGGAAAGUGGAAUUCCAUGUGUAGCGGUGAAAUGCGCAGAGAUAUGGAGGAACACCAGUGGCGAAGGCGACUUUCUGGUCUGUAACUGACGCUGAUGUGCGAAAGCGUGGGG
rnacentral:rRNA from 1 species